rnacentral:pre_miRNA from 1 species
UUUUGGAAGUCAAUUUUGAUAGAGAAGUAUCUUGAGUUGGUAACUCCACCACCGUUGGCAUUGUAUCAAGUCAACGGUGUUGAAGUUCCCGCUUUUGGAUAUUUCAUGUUUCUCAGAAAGGAUG